UACCAUGCAGUCGAGGGGUAUAGAGUGCUUGCACUUUAGAGACCGGCGCACGGGUGCGUAACGCGUAUGCAAUCUACCUUGUACAGGGGGAUAGCCCAGAGAAAUUUGGAUUAAUACCCCAUAGUAUUAUGAAUCGGCAUCGGUUUAUGAUUAAAGUUCCAACGGUACAAGAUGAGCAUGCGUCCCAUUAGUUAGUUGGUGUGGUAACGGCUCGCCAAGGCGACGACGGGUAGCCGGCCUGAGAGGGUGACCGGCCACACUGGGACUGAGACACGGCCCAGACUCCUACGGGAGGCAGCAGUGGGGAAUAUUGCACAAUGGGCGCAAGCCUGAUGCAGCAACGCCGCGUGAGGGACGAAGGCCUUCGGGUUGUAAACCUCUUUUAGCAGGGAAGAAGCGCAAGUGACGGUACCUGCAGAAAAAGCACCGGCUAACUACGUGCCAGCAGCCGCGGUAAUACGUAGGGUGCAAGCGUUGUCCGGAAUUAUUGGGCGUAAAGAGCUCGUAGGCGGUUUGUCGCGUCUGCUGUGAAAAUCCGAGGCUCAACCUCGGACCUGCAGUGGGUACGGGCAAACUAGAGUGCGGUAGGGGAGAUUGGAAUUCCUGGUGUAGCGGUGGAAUGCGCAGAUAUCAGGAGGAACACCAAUGGCGAAGGCAGAUCUCUGGGCCGUAACUGACGCUGAGGAGCGAAAGCGUGGGGAGCGAACAGGAUUAGAUACCCUGGUAGUCCACGCCGUAAACGGUGGGAACUAGAUGUGGGGUCCGUUCCACGGAUUCCGUGUCGCAGCUAACGCAUUAAGUUCCCCGCCUGGGGAGUACGGCCGCAAGGCUAAAACUCAAAGGAAUAGACGGGGACCCGCACAAGCGGUGGAGCAUGUGGUUUAAUUCGACGAUAAACGAAGAACCUCACCAAGGUUUGACAUCUAGCUGCAUGUCCUGGAAACAAGGAAGGCCUUCCGAGGGUGCUAGACAGAUGCUGCAUGGGUUGCCGUCAGUUCCGUGUCCGUGGAGAUGUACCCGUUAAGUCGGGAAAACGAAC
rnacentral:rRNA from 1 species